ACCCCUGAGUUUGAUCAUGGCUCAGGAUAAACGCUGGCGGCGUGCUUUAAGCAGGUAAGUCGCACGGAUAAAAACACGCUGGUCGGUGGCNGNCGGCUGAAAAAAAAAAAAAAAACCUGCCCAUCAGAGGGGGAUAACUCCGCGAAAGCGGGGCUAAGACCGCGUACGCUCGUCGGGGGAAAAAAAAGACGAGGAAAACGGCAACGUGCUGAUGGAGGGGCUUCCGGCCCAUCAGGUAGUUGGUGAGGUAACGGCCCACCAAGCCGAUGACGGGUCGCUGGUCUGAGAGGAUGACCAGCCAGACUGGGACUGAGACACGGCCCAGACUCCUACGGGAGGCAGCAGCUAGGAAUCUUGCACAAUGGGCGAAAGCCUGAUGCAGCGACGCCGCGUGGGGGACGAAGGCAGGCGGGUUGUAAACCCCUUUUGGGUGGGACGAGAUAGGACGGGGCCACCUGAAGAAGCCCCGGCUAACUACGUGCCAGCAGCCGCGGUACAAGGGCG
rnacentral:rRNA from 1 species